rnacentral:rRNA from 1 species
CAACCUGCCUAUAACUAGGGAAUAACCUUGCGAAAGUAAGACUAAUACCCUAUGAUUUCCUUUGAUGGCAUCAGAUUAGGAAUAAAGAUUUAUCGGUUAUAGAUGGGGAUGCGUCUGAUUAGCUUGUUGGCGGGGUAACGGCCCACCAAGGCAACGAUCAGUAGGGGUUCUGAGAGGAAGGUCCCCCACAUUGGAACUGAGACACGGUCCAAACUCCUACGGGAGGCAGCAGUGAGGAAUAUUGGUCAAUGGGCGGAAGCCUGAACCAGCCAAGUAGCGUGCAGGAUGACGGCCCUAUGGGUUGUAAACUGCUUUUAUACAGGAAUAAAGUUAGCCACGUGUGGUUAUUUGUAGGUACUGUAUGAAUAAGGUCCGGCUAAUUCCGUGCCAGCAGCCGCGGUAAUACGGAAGGUCCAGGCGUUAUCCGGAUUUAUUGGGUUUAAAGGGAGCGUAGGCCGUCUGUUAAGCGUGUUGUGAAAUGUAGAUGCUCAACAUCUGAAUUGCAGCGCGAACUGGCAGACUUGAGUGUGCGCAACGUAGGCGGAAUUCGUGGUGUAGCGGUGAAAUGCUUAGAUAUCACGAAGAACUCCGAUUG